CUCAACCACAGUUGAGUGAACCAAAGAGGUUCACUGCCAGUGGGAGAUGCACCAUUCUUCAAUUGAGCUUGAAGAGAGGCCAUGCCUCUAUAAAGGGCAGCCAAAAAUAAAGAACAUAAAUUCAAAGGCCUGCCACCCGCCAAUUCGUGCGCUAUAGGUAAAUAACUCAGAGAAGGCUUUAUACUUGGCACGCACAAAACAUUUUUACAAAGCCAAACUAAAAGGAAGGCCACUCGCUCAGUAUGGGUAGGCUCAGCACUCGAAUGAUUGUGGAGGGUCUGCAGGCUUGAAUAAGAAUCGGUGUAGUUUCUACCAAACUUUGGGGCGCCACCAAAAACUAAGAUACCAGGAAAAAUGGUAUCACCCAAAGGUGGCAGAUUCACCAGGGCCCCAACAUCCCUUAAGGUAAUAGACAUGGGGCCAAGAGGGAAAAUAAAAGUGUUAUACUCAGAAGAUCAAAAACUCAAAGCAAUUGAAAAGAGUGCUGAAUCGAAAGUAGGGGGGCGGACAGAGAUUUCCAACAAAUCAGAAAUCCUAGCGCUAUCAAAAAGUGCCUUAGUAGGACCAUGACCCACAAGGCGAGCAUGCCACUUACGAAAAGCUACAUCAGAUUUAGGCCAAGUGCGAAUACCUCUUUCGCGAAGUGGCCCCAGCGGCAGAGAGUUUAGAAAAGGAGGGCCAUGAGUGCAAGGAAACAGCUGACCCACCGCCGCCUGUUCAACUGCCUCUGCAUUGUUGAAGAAAGGACCCAAGUAAAACUCAUUACGUCCAACGUCGGCGGGCGCGAGAAAACUUGGGGUUAUGUAUGGGCGACUCAAAAGUCUCUGAAAGUCAUCAAAACUAAAGGAAUCGCUAGCUUGAGAUUGUGAAGCAGCCAUUGGAGAAAGAACGAAGCUUUUCAGGGUUACGUAGCAAGAAAGCAAAAGAUGAACAGUGAAUCUUGAAAGAGACGCAAAAAAUAUGAGGCGUGGUUUGGUAGCAGUGAAAUGGCGUGUUUGGGGUUUAUAAGGGUUUGCAAAACGACGCACCUUUUCAAGUUAUAGAAGGAAACAAUGAUUGAAAUUAUUGAAAAUUUCGAAUGUUGCUGGAAACACAAAGUGAAUAUGGCAAAAUUCAAUAAUUAUUAUUAAUUCUGCCAUAUUGGGGGGUAAUUGUUGACACAUAAAAAUUCAGCCCAAAUCGAACAGCUCAAGUAGUGAAGCCCAAUUGGAGGAUCCCCAAAUCAGAUAGCCCAAAGAACGAAGCCCAAUCGAACAAAUCAAGAUGAAGGCCCAAAUAAGGAGGCCCAAGAAUGCGAUAACGCCAUCGCCCAAGUUUGCAAGUCGCCCAAAAUCUGAAUGAAUAGAGUGUCAUACGGUCGCCCAGAAUUGUUACUCUAUUCUCGCCCAAACCUUCAAGUCGCCCAAGGUAUUAACAAACAUAACGCGUCGUGGUUAUCGAGAAGUGCAGUUAUCAAAGCAGUUAUUAAAGCAGCCCUAUCACGUUCCACAAUUCAAAGAAUUCAAUCGAAAGUGGUUGAACGAUGAAGGGUAAUGACAGCAGUUAAAAGGCAGUUUUCAUAACAAGGUGGCCAUUACGAAGAAAGUGGGUAGUUAUAGGACGAUCAAACAGUUUUUAAAGUAGUUGAUCACAAAGAGAUCGUCUAUGAAGUAUAAAAGGGAGAAAGGACAUAGAAGCAAAGGACCGAAUCCAAAACUCUCGAACAGAAAACAUGUAAUUUUCAUUUCCUUAGUUUUUAGAUUUAAGCACUUUUCUUUCAGUAACUCGUGUGCUUGCGCCCCUUGGAGGCACGUUGUCUUUCUUUUCCAAUUGUAAAGUUUAUCAUCAAUAAAAGAACACUCCUUUUUGGGAUUUUGUCUCAAGAGGUUUCGUCCCUUACACAAUCGUCUGAUCCUUUUUAAUUGUUAGCGACUAACUCGCGCGAAACAAGUAUGAAAGUUGGAAUGAGGAAGAUAAAACAGAAAUGUAUUUUAAUUUGGACUAGAAUUGUGCCAGAAAUUAACUCUAAGAAUGGAAGGAUUUGGGUAGUGAAAAAGUUUCCAGAAUUUUGAGCGUGAAAUAUGGUAUUGGAUUUGAUUUAUGACUUUGCAUUUUUACUGUUAAAAGAUAGUAUUUUCUGAAAUAAAAAAUAAGAGAAAGUAACAAUGGUAUUAUGAAUUUAAUUAAGGUAAUGCGUGUAAUUUCCACAAAUAAUAAACUGGGGCCCAAAACAAUCAGGGCGAUAACAACUAAAACGGACCCAAAAAUUGGGCCAUACACAAACCUAUCUUGCAAAAUGGAAAUAAAGAAAGAAAAAGCAAAAUGGAGUUUGAGAAAAGAAAUGGGGUCCAAGGUGGACCACAACUCCCCAAAUUCCAUGUACUUGGGCAGUCGUGUUCAACGAAAGGCCUCAUCUUUCUUCAAUAUAUUUUCAAUCUCAUUCUCUAAAAAUCAUUUUUUCUCGAAUUUAUUUUGAAUUCCACAUUCUCUUAAUUACUUUUUAACCACAAC
rnacentral:lncRNA from 1 species